UAUCCUGGCUCAGGAUGAACGCUAGCGGCAGGCUUAACACAUGCAAGUCGAGGGGCAGCAUAAUGGAUAGCAAUGUCUAUGGUGGCGACCGGCGCACGGGUGCGUAACGCGUAUGCAACCUACCUUUAACAGGGGGAUAACACUGAGAAAUUGGUACUAAUACCCCAUAAUAUCAUAGAAGGCAUCUUUUAUGGUUGAAAAAUUCCGAUGGUUAGAGAUGGGCAUGCGUUGUAUUAG
rnacentral:rRNA from 1 species